rnacentral:rRNA from 1 species
GAUGAACGCUGGCGGCGUGCCUAAUACAUGCAAGUCGAGCGAACGGACGAGAAGCUUGCUUCUCUGAUGUUAGCGGCGGACGGGUGAGUAACACGUGGAUAACCUACCUAUAAGACUGGGAUAACUUCGGGAAACCGGAGCUAAUACCGGAUAAUAUUUUGAACCGCAUGGUUCAAAAGUGAAAGACGGUCUUGCUGUCACUUAUAGAUGGAUCCGCGCUGCAUUAGCUAGUUGGUAAGGUAACGGCUUACCAAGGCAACGAUGCAUAGCCGACCUGAGAGGGUGAUCGGCCACACUGGAACUGAGGCACGGUCCAGACUCCUACGGGAGGCAGCAGUAGGGAAUCUUCCGCAAUGGGCGAAAGCCUGACGGAGCAGCGCCGCGUGAGUGAUGAAGGUCUUCUGAUCGUAAAACUCUGUUAUUAGGGAAGAACAUAUGUGGAAGUAACUGUGCACAGCUUGACGGUACCUAAUCAGAAAGCCACGGCUAACUACGUG